UUUUGUCUUUCACAUGUCAUGAUUGUCAAAUGAUAAAUCAAAACUAUCUGAUCAAAUGAUAGGUUUCACGUUGUGUUUUGUUUGAUUAAUAGGUAGGGCGUGAUGGCGGCGCCACUACGAUUUAGUAGUAUUCGCCCAGGUUGUUGGACAUUCCUCUCAGUUUCACCACACAACCAAUUUGAAUUUACCCUGUUUAGAACUGCGGCUUGUUGCAAUUUUAGCAAGUCAACCUACAACUACAAGUACAAGUAUAAACUUUUAUGUGGGAAGAGUGAAAGCCCGCAUCAGGGCCACGUACCACUACAACAGCAACUAAGACAUGCAAGCAGGGGUGUGCGGGACCCAGAAAAUAUAGGCAAAGGUAUCACUGGAACUAAUUUUGACACAAUGGGGACGUGGAACAAUAUGAUAAGCAUGCCACUGCAGAUGAAUGAGAGCAUACGGCGCGGUCGUAUCAUACCAAAGAUAUCGAUGGAUCAGAUAGGACUAUCAAGUGUCCUAGGUCGCCGUGAAUAUCAGGAAGACCGAUCCAUCGUGAAGAAGCUACCCUACCCCGGUGGCGGGCACGAUCUUCUGUACUUUGCCGUCUUCGAUGGGCACGGCGGCUCGCACGCGGCAGACUUUGCGUACACGACGCUCGAGGACCACGUGCUGUUCUGGCUCGAGCGAGGCGAACGCGACCUGGGCGUCGUGCUGCGCCGCGCGUUCGUCGGCGUCAACAACUCGUUCGCGCGUCGCGUCUGCCUCGGCUCGCUCGACAAGUUCGCGUCCGGCACGACGGCGACCGUCUGCCUGCUGCUGAACAGCACCGAGCUCGUCGUCGCGCACGUCGGCGACAGCCGCGCCGCGCUGAACCGCAACGGCAAGGUCGUGCGCCUGACGACGGACCACGCGCCGGACAGCGGCGCCGAGGGGCGGCGCGUGCUCGCGUGCGGCGGCCGCGUCAGCACGAACAGCCUCGGCGUGCCGCUCGUCAACGGCCGCCUCGCGAUGACGCGCAGCAUCGGCGACCUCGAGUUCAAGCGCUACGGCGUGACGGCCGAGCCGCAGGUGACGCACAUCGAGGUGAAGCACUACAAGGACUCGUUCCUCUUCCUGACGACGGACGGCGUCAACUUUGCGCUCAGCGACCAGGAGGUGUGCGACAUCAUCAGCCGGUGUCCGUCGCCGCAGCACGCCGCGACCUUCAUCACCGACCAGGCGCUGCAGUUUGGCUCCGAGGACAACUCGACCGUCAUCGUGCUGCCGUUCGGCUCGUGGGGCAAGUACCGGCUCCUCCAGUCUGACAACGUGCAGUUCAGCUUCGGCCGCCUAAUCUCGAAGAGCACCCGCUGGUGACAGUGUGUCGUGGUGACAUCGGACUGUGGUGACAGUGUUUUGCGGUGGGUGAUUACAUCAGGUCAUGGUAACAAUGUAUUGUGGUGACAACAUAGGAUCCUGGUGACAGUGUGUCGUGGUGUCGUCGGGUCACAGUGACAUUGGUUUAUGUUGACACAAGGUCGUAGUGAUGAGGUGUCAUGGUGACAUUGGGUGGUCGUGGCAAUGCAGCAUGGUAAGACAUUGAGUUAUUGUGACAAUGUGUCAUAUAGUGACAGCACGUUUGACAGUCCUAUUGUCAUACCGUGUUUUAGUAGACAGUAGGAUGUGGUGACAUGAUAACAACAUUGCAUCGUGUUAACGUUCCAGGCUGAUAGGUUUUCAUAAUGACAGCAUGCAGUAGUGAAACAUGUCAGUGUGACAACAUGUUUAUAGCAGUGAAAUAAGAGCGGCCUGCAGAUGUGUGUGGGUAUUGUAGAGUUGGCGGUUGCAUUAGACUCGAACUUGUUUCAUGCCCGAGUUGUUUACCUUUUACUCUAUUUUCAGUGUUUAUCCAGUCUCCAUGUGUGUGCGUGUGUUACCAGAUCCUGACAUUUCUGGCACAUCAAUUACAGGCAGAUGUUGCGUACGUGAGAAAUCAUCUAGCUUCUUUCCGGCCUGGAGUGAAAUUGCGCUCAUCACAGGCAACUGUAACUUCAUGGGCACCUAUGGUUUACUUGUUUUCUAUGUGUAAAACAUUUAUUGUGAAAAGCAUCGAAACUAAACAGACUGGGCGAAAUUUCCUCAGGGUCGAGAUAAGCCGUCUCAAGCUUGCCGGAAAAGCAAGGUGAAGUUCAACUACAAAAUAAAAAAAACAUUUGUUUCAUUUAACACUAACUGGAGGUUUUCUGUAAGAAAAUGACUCAACUACAAAAAAACGUUGUGAGCAGUAUGGAAUGAAGGCAAUUUCGUCUGACCCUGUAGACAUUUUUGUUGAUGGUAUUAGUUGUAAUGUGCUUUUAGUUAGCAGCGCGGUAACUAGAUUGCUUGCUUUCUUGUAUUUUUGCAAAAAGACUGCUAUAUGCAUUGUUGUGCUUUUUCUUUUAAAAUGAAAGGUUGAAAGACUGUUUGCUACUGUUCAGUGCCCUAUCAUAAAGUAAUUGUGUGAAGUUAACUCGAUCACGUAGUCAUUUCCUGUAGCGAACCUAAUCCGUCAGGAAUUUUGCCUAGCCCCUAGCAUAGAUGAACAAGAGUUAUUGCUAUAUUAAUUCCAUCAAGAGCUAAUAAUCAAGAGCUAAUAAGGUAUUAUUAUCUCUUGAUUCCAUGUAAUACGUCAUCUAUGUAAGUUAUCACCUGUCUUCCCAAGUAGAUGGAAAAAUUAUGCGGUCUUUUCAGGAGUAAUUGCUAAAUGUUUAUUAGCUCAGCACUGGUUCAGUACUGCCGUAGCAGUGCAAUAUGGUGUUAUCAGGCGUAGUUGCAUCACAGGGCUUCCUCUUAAAUAAUGCAGGCGCAUUUAUAUGCACUGUAGAGCCGUAUACCGUAUGUUUGUUAGCAGUGACGGGUAAAUAAUAUAAGAAACAUGUCUUUCAAUUUCGUAAUUUACUGCCUAUCGGCUGUGAGUUUGUUGAGUUGUUGAUUAUUGUUUGCCUGUCGUUUCUAAUUGAGUUUGUAUCGUUUUGUACUAAGAUAAGAAGGUAAAUGAUUAGUCUCGAUAGGUCUUAUCCGUCCAUUGUCGGUUCCACUGUCGUUCCUAUACUGUAUAUUAUGUAGUGGUCGUACUGGUGUGGCAUUCGCAUGCGAUCAGGUCCAAUCUAAUGUUUUCCAGGUUUCUGAUCACCUCACGUAACUGUUAUUUAUUCUAGGCGCAUUACUAAAAAGAUAACUUCCGAAAUAUACCGUGUGAAUAUUGCUGUUUUAAGAAAUACUAAUAACGUUUUAUAAACGUUUAUCUUUGUUUUGCUUUGUCAAGUUAUUUCACCGAUAAAGGUCAUCGUAAAUUGCUUACCAACACGAAGGUACACCUGCUUAUCUCAUAUGGACCUCGGAAGUGUUGCAUAUUGCUAAGGUUUGCCUAGUCUGCGCCCCGAGGCGCUAUAAACUGAUCAGAAGAGGAUAUUAUUAAAAGCGAAAUACACAUUCA